rnacentral:rRNA from 1 species
GACGAACCGUGCAAACGUUGUUCGGAAUCACUGGGCUUAAAGGGUGCGUAGGCGGGCAAGCAAGUCGAAGGUGAAAUCCCACGGCUCAACCGUGGAAGUGCCCCCGAUACUGCUUGUCUUGAGGGAGAUAGGGGCGUGCGGAACUUCCGGUGGAGCGGUGAAAUGCGUUGAUAUCGUUAGGAACGCCGGUGGCGAAGGCGGCACGCUAGACCUCUUCUGACGCUGAGGCACGAAAGCCAGGGGAGCGAACGGG